rnacentral:lncRNA from 1 species
AAAAAAAAAAAAAAAAUGUUAGAUAUCAUUUGGAUAAUAUUAUCCGUUUCGAUGUAUCCUGUGAAAAUUCAAUUUUAUCCUUAAAGUUCUCUGUCGUGUGUUUCGUGUUCGUAAGAAAUAGUAUGGCUCUUAGGAAAUUGAAUCAAUUAUAUCGUAUAAGAUUGUUUUCAUCGUUCGAUCAAUAAUUUGUAUUAUUGAAUUAAAUGAAAUAUGUAAAAUUUAUUGAUUUAAUAGUGAAAAAUAAAUUUAUAUAUAUAGUGCAAGAUUAACUUGUGCAUAUUAAGCAAAACCUCAUGAUUAAAUUUCUAACCAUUAGACUACUUAAAAAAAAUAUCCAAUAAAAUAGCACCUAACAUUUACACAUUCAUGCGUAAAAAAAAAUAUUUACACAUUUAGGGUCCAUUUGAUCUGCAAAAUAUAAGAACUCGACAGGGACAAUACAAAAAAGAACAACACAGAAUAAACGUUUAAGGUUUUGAAGAAACUCUCUAUUAUAUGAUAUUUUGUGGACAAAAUGUUAUUUUGAUAUUUUUAGACAACUUGUGCAUAGGACAAAAAGUUGUCCCGUGGUUCUGUGGAAAUUUUUGUCCUGUCCGUUAGCCCCAGUUUUUCUAGUAACAGAAACAAUUUUAAAAUCAAAGACAAUACAACUAAGAUCCUUAUUUUUUAGGUGAUUAUCUUAUUUUCAUGUUUUAGAUUUUACAUUAUUCAUGACAGAUCAAAUUCAAAUAAAUUGAUACACUGUUUUUCUCAUACCAUUUUGUCUUUAAUAAAUUUAGGCCUAAUUUGUCAUGUGAGCAUAGGUUCAGUUACAGGUCGGGAUUCGAACCCAAAAUUCUCCAAUUAUUCACCUUAAAUGUUGAAAUUCUAGCUACUAAAUUAUUUGACCAAAAAAUAAUAAUUUAGGCCCUAUGAAACGGAACAGACAUGGACACCGGACACGUCACGAACAUUGACAAGUCGACACUGCUAAUAAUUUUAAAAAAUGACAUGGCAAAAUAAUGGUUGUUUAUUGGACGAUUGUGUAAAACUAGUUUACACCGUCGGUGCAUAUCAAUUAAACUCUUCAUAAUAAGAAAGAAAAACAAGUUUAUAAAAACUUUGCUGCUAAAGUUGCACAUAUAAUAUAUUCACAUAAGGAGGAAAUAAUAUCACCCCACUUAGAGUGCCUUAUUCCUUUUAAAGAUUAUAAUACCUUAUCUUACAAUGGACUAAAUAAUUGAAUAGCUGCUAUAUUUUUUUUUUCUACCAUAUUAUAAGUGCGGAGCAUUUACUAAUUUAACCGAUGACUAAUCUUCGUGGAAGAACAUGCUACUAUAUAUACAAUAUUUAUGCAUACUCUUUGUGAAGGAAUGUCUUCCAUCUUUCCAUCAUAGAGAGAAACCUAGAGAUCAAAGCUGUGACUGUGGAAAUGGAAGAUGGAAUGAUAGGGUUGUCUUGUCAAACUAUGUGACCUGAUUUCUUGUGCAACACUUGACUGAAGAGUUAGAGGACCACAAACUAUAACACCAACAUUAACAUGUCCCCAUUUCUCCGACAUGGAUUCAAAAAUCUCUGCAACAUAUGCAUCCUUAUUAGUAACAUCGAUUAGAUUUAGUUUUGUAUCAAGUCGAGAUAUAACUCAUAUAAACAUGUAAACANNNNNNNNNNNNNNNNNNNNNNNNNNNNNNNNNNNNNNNNNNNNNNNNNNNNNNNNNNNNNNNNNUGAAAGCAUACCUUUAAAGUCAGGCCUAGAACCAUAACGAACGGUGGUUAACUUUGUAACAUUGUCUUGACUUGGAUCCUUUUGAUCUACCGAGCCAUUUCGCUCAACUUGAUCAACCUUGGUGUUAUUGGACUUAUCCUUCAAAGAACUUUGCUUUUCCCACAUAUGCCAAAAUCCAACCACUAUACCGCCAAAGAUACCAACGCUUGCAAGCAUGCAAACUACAAAUAGUAGCCCUUUGUACCACCAUUUUUCCACACCAAAUGGAUUUAUAUAGUAAAUAUUCAACAAAGAAAGUAAGAUCACAAAACCUAAGGUAGAUGAAAUGACAUAUAGUCCAGACCAAAAAUUGUCUCCUGUUCCGACCAAACCAGACAUUCCAUAAUCACUAGGCAUGGAAAAGGGACAAACUGAAGAUUUUAUUGGUUUGAAACUGUAUCCCUCUUCCUGCAGAUAUUAACAAUCAAAUUGUUAGAACAGCAACAAAUGGAAGAAAGUACAAAGUUGUAUAUAGAAUGCAAGACUAACCAAUGGAGGAUCUGAUUCUCGAGUGACGAAAAUAAGUAUAUUGAUAUUCACUUUAUCAGAAAAGCGUGGACAGAUUGUUUCCAUGUCAACGGACGAAAGAAGUGGAAGCUCGUCUGAUUUUUUUACUGCCCAAACGAUUAAAACAUUUCUUGGUCGACAAGGUUUCCCAUCCCUCACGCGGUGGAGAAUAUCACUCAAUAUUGCAAGGAAAGGCGAAAGUCCAAUACCACCAGCCACUAAUAUAAGAUUUUCGUACCUAAGGUAACAAAAUGAAUGUAUCGCUUCAUUAGUUGAAGAAGUGAGAACUAUAACAUAAGUUAGCUUAAAAAAUAUUUGGUCCGAAAGUAUAUGCACAUUAGCGACUAAGUACGUUUAGAAUUCUAACGGGAACAAUCUUUGGUCAGACUUUUCUUACCUCCCGACUGAACUCUGGAUUACCGGGGCCCCUUUCCCAUAGAAACAAGAGGGUUAAGACAAAAAAAAAUGUUUCUAUCAUAAACAUUCAAAGAAUUAGACAUGUAGCCACUUACAUCAAAUGGUAUGGUACUUCAUGUCCAUAUGGCCCCUCAACUGAAGCUGUUACCACAGUAUGAGGCUUAACAGAUAAAUCUUCUGGUGCAUCAACAUCAGUGGUUCUUUCUCUUAAUUUCCNNNNNNNNNNNNNNNNNNNNNNNNNNNNNNNNNNNNNNNNNNNNNNNNNNNNNNNNNNNNNNNNNNNNNNNNNNNNNNNNNNNNNNNNNNNNNNNNNNNNNNCCAUUUUCCAAGAACCUUUAUAAGAACAGCAAUGUGAUUGUUUCCAUCCAAAGGACUAGAAGAAACGCUGAACGGAUGCCACUGUAGCCACGAUAAUUCCCGAACUUGAAGGAAAAUGAAGCUUAGAGCAUUGUAUCUCAAAUCUACAAUUUGGAGAAGAUAUUGUCACUGAUAUAGUAAUAAUGGUACAAAUAUUUGGGCAUAAAAAUGCUACUAUAAGUAUAAUUACUUUGAGGUUUUGACAGAACCACUUCCACAGUGCCACAAGGAAGGCACCUCGACGAGAUUACAUUUACUGUCCUUCUUGAUUGGCAGAACCUCAGAAACCGAUCAAGAACAAAAAGAAAUAUCGGUCCAGCAGCCAUAGCGAAAAUAAAGUCACCAAUAUGCAAAGCCAUAAACACGAUAAAGACUACAUAUAAUUGGUGAGUGUAGAAAAACAAUUCGAAAUUCCACUUUCGCACUCCAGGAAGCGAGGUCACCCACAUAAACAAACCAGCUACAAGGCUGAUAACUCCUGCUAGAUUGGCAACACCAAUAUCUUUCCAUUCUAAUAACUGCAAAGGGAGAACAAAUUAUGUAAAGAUAAGUAAGUAUUUAGCUUGAUUUUCACCGUUAAUCAACAACGAUCUAUGAAGGAUUUAGCCUUUAGGAUAACAUUAUAGAUAUUCUGUGCAUAAAACAUGAACUAUCUUCAAGAAAGAAAGAAAAAAACUAUCUUCAAGGAAAGGGAUCCAUCAAAGAAGACUCACUUCUCGAAUUAGGCGACCUUCCAUUAUCCACUCAAUAGAAUAGAAGAGUCCAUGGAGUGUAAAAAGCACCAUUGUGAGGUGUCCUAGCCAAACGUGAUAUUUUGUAGCAUGUUCAAAAGGGAUAUCUAUAAAGCGGAGAAGAACAGAUCCCCUUGAAAUCGGGAUAAACAAAAAUGCCAAGCACAUUAAUCCAAUCGCACCCAAACGAAGUCCCAUAAUAUCCAACAAGUGCAAGCUGAAAAAAAGUCAAGUAAACCAGGUAAGUUAGCUUAACAUAUUCAUUCAUGUUUAAAACUACAUGAUCAUUGUAAAAGUUCUAUGACCAAAGACUUUGUCCCAAUGCUAAUGACUGUUGUCAGUGAUAAUUAACAUGCAGAAAAAAUAUUCAAUUUGAAGUAAAAGGAGACAACAUAUAGAAUCCAUGUCAAGGUUUCUGAUUUAAUAGUAAAACAAACUAUGACAAACUAUGGCUUAGACAAAGGAUACAAGUUCUUGCUUGCUUUAGCACAGAAGUCUAAUUCUAAAAAGUUUGGUGCAUGAUUUUUUUCAAUUUAUGGAGAGGAUUGUUGGAUGAUUAACUAUAAGAAAAUAAUUAGUACCGUUCACCACAACGAAGAGAUAAUGUGGUUUAUGUGCGAGAAAAGAAUUGAUUUUACAAUGUUUUCAAGUUGCCCGUGAGUUUUAAAAAGGAACUUACAUUUUGUUAUAAAGUUGGCUUUAUGCUACGUGAAUUACCUCCCUUUUAAAAAUAUUCGUGCGGUUAUUAUUUCUCCUUCAUGUUCACUUUGUAUUUUAUAUGCUCUCACCGAGUCUUUGUGACUCACCCCUAUUUUCUUUCAUUUUUUUCAGAUUCACAAGUUGCAGAAUAGAUCGUUCUUGAUAAUUGUAGACUCCAGCGAGUACCCUCUUUUUGGUAGGCCUCUAUAUUUAGUGGAGGCCAUUAUUUUGUGACUUCAGUAUGAUGCAACUAUUUUGGUUAGGACUUGUUUGAUAGUUCUGGUUGUAUGUAGUAGUAAACUCUAGUAAGUGCUGUAUGUGUAGCCACUAUCCUUGUGAUUUUGUGAAACUUAGCAUAUGAGUAAAUGCACCGCUGUUGGAAAAUAUUUCGUUGUAAAUAGUUAAUACAAGGAUAAGUGGAUAGUUGUGAAUAUAUGUGUAUUUUAUGUUAGGUUUGCCAGAAUUAUUUAUUUCUUUAGCGGCAGUUAACCUGUGCGCCGGUCAUGACCUUAGAGAGGGUCGUAAAAAACACGGUCAAAAUAACAAAAACCUCUAACAGACUGUGAACCUCCAAGUUCAUAUUGAAAUUUCAUCAGUCCAGUGUUAUCUUAAUCUCACUACUUAACAUGUGAUGGGCUACAUAAACUUGCUAUCAUGCUUUUAUAUAUUAAUCCUAACUUGUCCAUACAAAACCCAAUAUUCCGCAUUAAACAAAGUAAAUCUGCAUCUUGAAAUAAAUUUCUGAAAAUAAAUAAAUAAAUAAAUAAAUAAAUGGUACCUCUUGUCUCUAAAAGAUAACUGAUCAGACAAAGCUGCAAGAGCCUGCACAGCAUAAGCAGAGAAAGCCCAAAUAACAUAUGCUAAAAAAAUGACUAUUCCAAUGAAUUCNNNNNNNNNNNNNNNNNNNNNNNNNNUGACAUAUUUAUGGAGAUAUUUUAGGAACUAAUAUAACAAAUUACAUAAUAAUGAGAUACAUUUGGAGGCAUGUGUAAAAGUUUUUUAUACUGACAGUGUAUACGAAAUAAAUUCAAUUAACUAAGUACACGAGGAAAGUUUCUAGAAAUCACAUACUCAGGAAUCUGAUCCUCCCCAGAAAUAAUCAGGUAUGCAAUGGCAAGGAAUGCAAUUGCAAGAACUGGAGCACUGAGAAUCAAUAAAAUGCUUCCUGCAUAACACACAAUUAGUUAGCUUUGAACUCAAGCUACAUAUUGAAAAAACAAAAGAUUUAUUAUAUUUUUGUCUGUACAAAUAAACUUUUUGUUUUUAGCACUAGUAAAAAACAAUUAUUUUAUUAUUAGUCCUCAAAUUAUUAUAUCAAAGGUAUCAUGUGUGCGCAACUGCAAAAACUAAUCUCUAGAUAACUGAGAUCAAUUUAAAUGAUUGAUAUCUCCUAACAAAUAUAUUUUCAUACGCAUCGGCCAGGGAUGAAACCCUGGACCAAAACAAAAAGCAAAAAACAAGAACUUCCACUGCUGAAAUUAAGUAUAUAUGCAAGAGUAAACACAUUUAAACCAAGACAAAAAGCAAGAAACAAGAAAAGAGGAACAUAUUUAUAAAUAUAACCUGUGACUCCAAAAGAACUUCCACUGCUGAAAUUGAGCCAUUUUGAGAAUAAUCCAUGCACAGGUACAGAUGGUAACAGAAAAAUGAAAGCAGCCCAUAAAAUGAAAAUCACGGAAAUCAAAGUCCUAAGAGUCCAUUUGGUAGCUGAAACAACAAAAGGUGGAAAUUUUCCAACAUAACCACCAUUUUCAUCACCUUGCUUAGAAAGCAAAGGACUAUAAUCAACAGAGUUUUUCUCCAUGGAAAGAAGAAAUUACUCAAACUCUCUUGAAGGGUAUGAUACAAUAGUACAAUGCACAAGACUCAUAAUUAAAAUACCAAAUUUGAGAAAGAAAAAGAUAAAACUUUGUGGAACCCAUGAUUAUAUGAAAGUAGAAAUAUGAGAAUCACAUAAAAGGGUUUGAAAAUUGUGAACCACUGAAAUGAAAUUUAAUGUGAAGAUAAUAAAGUAGAGAGUACUGUCAUAGUACACAUCAACAUGGAAUAUGUGAUGAAAUGACACAUUGUUAGAAAUACAGAAAAGAGAAAAUACGUGUAGAGUAGACAUUUAUGAACGGAGGACCACAUUAAUUCGAUAUCCGCGACUGCGAUCGGAGAAGACUAAAAUCACUUGAUAUCAGAAGUGACUCUCGAAAAGAUUAAAUUGGUGCUUAAAGGAAAAGGAAAAAAAAAAAAAAAGACAUAUAUGAACAAGUGAACAAAUGAAUGUGCGAUUUCACAUCAUACCAACUAAUGUGACAAUGAUUUUUAGCAGUUAAGGUAAUGACGUGAGUGAUUCUGAUUCACAAAACUCCGUUAGAUAAUGUUUUAUGUAACAGAAUUAAUAAUAAUUGUAUAAUUUUUGUGAAUACUUUGGAAGUUUCAUUACAAAAUUGAGACAAUUAUAUGGUUUAAGGUUGUUUUCAUGGUUGGAUUGGAUCAAUAAUUCGUAUUAUUGAAUUAAAUGAAAUAUGAUAAAAUUUAUUGAUUUAAUAGUGAAAAAUAAAUUUAUAUAUGGUGAAAGAUUAACUUAUAUGCAUGUUAAGCAAAAUAAAAUAGCACCAAUGUUUACACAUUUACAUAUUCAAAGACGUGGUUACUAUUGAGAAGUGAAAGUAAAACUAACUCCCAAAUUAAUACUCCCUCCGGAUACUAUAAGCAACUAAAAAAAUUCAAAUUUCGGUCAUUAUUAUAAACAAAAGUUAACUAUUUUUAAAUUAAUUUAUAUUUUGUAUCCCAAAAAAAAAUUAAUUAAUAUUAUUAUUUCUAAUAUACCCUUAUUUAAUUUUAUUUUAUUUUAGGCAUUUAUUUCAAUUUUACAUUUUUACACUUUUCAAAAUAGGUAAUAUAGUAAACUUAACUCAUAUUUUACAUUAAAUCAAGAAAAUUAAAUACACUUAACUAAAUUUUUUAAACACCGCAUAAACAGUUUUUUUUUCUUAUAUUUAUGUCCGGAAAAAGUAACUAUACAUUAAAAGACCACUACUAACUUAAGAUUUACUACCAAGUUUUAUUCACUAAUAAUUAUUGACUAAUAACACUAUUCUCUAUCUUAUAAUGAGUGUUCUAUUCGAAUGUUUUACACUUGCUUUAAUCAUUAAUAUUUUAAUUAUAUAAUAAUAAAAUUAUAAAAAGUUAUCAACCAAAUUUUCUUAAUAUUAUGAAAAGUUGAAAUUUUGUAAAUAAUUAUCGAAACAAAUCAAUAUUUAUUUUUAUUUAUUAAUAAAAAAAAUAUGGUAUCAGUCAUUUUGGGAUAAAGAUAACUAACUUAAGAUUGACUAAGUUUUAUUGACUAAUUUGUCUAAAUAAUAGACACUUAAGCCUCUUAAUCAUUUGAUUCAUAGUUUGACAAACCAAUUAAUUUUACGGUUCAAACGGCAAUUGGCCAAUCUGCUAGUUGGUUGAACCAACCACAAUUCUUUUUUCAGUCUCACAUAAUUUAUUUAUUUUUAAAUAAUAUAAUUUAAAAUACUUUUUUAUUAUGGAAAAUGCUAAGAAACCUAAAAAUGAAAUUUUAUCUUGCAAAUAAUGCAUUCAACUUUUUUUUUUUAAAAAAAUUACUUACAUAAAAUUUAUCAUUUAUUUCUUUGUUUACCUUCUUAACAAAUUAUACAUUUAAAAACUACAAUAAAAACAAUUUGACACAUAAAUGACUAGCGGUCCGUUUGAAUUAACUUAUUUUUGAGCUUAUGCGAAACAACUUAUUAAAAUAAAUAAGCUUUUAUGCAUUAUUAUAAAAAGGUAAUUUAUGAAAAAAUAGCUUAUAAAAGUAAAGAUUUUGUCAGUAAAAACUCAUGAAUUAACAUAAAACAUUAUUUAUUUGCAUAAGCUAAAAAAUAAGCUGAAUCCAAAUGACCCUAUAUGACUAUAAUGCUUGUCUCUGAUAAUUUAUGUAAUGUCAUCUUAGCAUGUGGAUAUAAAACAUACAAUUAUGCUUAAGUGGCCAAUGAGUUCCCCAUAAGAUAAAUUGUUGGGGAAAACUCGAAUUCGAUUUAUGAGGGUUAAAUACAAAAACAAAAAUAAAAUUGAACCUUUAUUAUUCAAAAAUAAAAUAAAAUAUAUUCUAUAUUUAUCAGUUCUAAUGAAAGCAAUUAAAAGACUAAAUAUAAUGAUUUCAAGUUUUAGAUGGAAGAAAAUUAAAGAAUUGUUUUUACAAGGAAUGAAACCAAAAUUUACUUAUUUUAAAUGGAUAAAAAAACAUAAUUUCAAAUAUUAGAGGAAUAAAUUGAACACAAGUUUACAAUGAUAAAAACCAAAAAUUGUUAAUUUUAAAAUGAUCAAAAACAAAACCGUGUUGAAUUUAUAUUUGUAUCUACUAUAUCAAUUAUUAUAAUUAGAAUGAAUGAAUAUAGUUAUUUUUAUUAAAAUAAAAAAGAAUGGAGGAAUAUUAAACAACAAAUAAGAGGAGUGAUAGUGUCUAGUGCAAGGAAACAAGCCAGUGAUAAAUGAUAAUGUGAAAGCCAGACAUUGACAUUUGAAGAAGGAGGUCCACUUAUUGCUUUGUGUGUACCUAAAACAUUCCUAGUUGUUGGCUUCUCUGCCUUUAGUUUGGGAGAUAUAUAUAUCAUCAUUAUGUGAAUGGCUACAAAUUAAUUAAUAGUAAUUUCUAGAAGAGAUAGUAUACAAAGUUUAUUAUGGAAAAUAGACAGGUGUGAAAGCUAGAUAUUGACAUUGGAGAAGGAGAUUCACUUGUUACUUUGAUUGAGUGCGUAACCAUUAUAUUCCAACUUUGUCCUUAUACUUGCUCAUGCAAAUACAUCAAUUGUAUUGUUUAAUUGACAAUGAUAUAAUUAGAAGCAUAUGGUUAUAACUUAUAAUAAUAAUAUUUUCAAUUCCUUCGUAUUAUGAUUUUGGAGGUUUUUUGUUGUUGACAAAAUACAUUUUUUUGAAGUUUUUCUUCUAUCUUAAUUCUAUAAUUCACAGGAAAAACAUUAGUAAUUCAGAAUUUGAUUAAGAGAUAAAUAAAAGUUUGACAAAUAAUACUAUUUAGUUAGAUUCAAGUAGUUAAUAAACUUUACGUUACAAAGUCAAUAAGAACAAUUAAAUUUGAUUGAUGCUUAAAUAAUUUCUGAUCAGAUUUUCCUUGCGAUAAGAUAUGAAGGGCUGUCGUGAGAGUGAGAAAUAGAAAGGGUUGGGUGCAUCAUGAGCAUACUGUGGUUGCACAUAUAUAAUUAAUUAUAUCUUCGUGGUGGCUCCUUUAUUUUGGUACAAAUUCCAUUUAUGUUUUUAAUCUAAUAUUUUACACAGAUCAAAUUAGUUUGCAUUAAAUCUAAUCUCUAAUACAAUAAGCAUACUCUUACACAAAGUUGAUGCAACAAGAUGAACAUAAGAGCAAAAUAUGUAGCUGAAUGAGUACUAAUUACAACCCAAAACUAAGAAAACCUACUUUCACAAUAGAGCUAGUUAGAUUGAGUGGUUCACAUAACCAUAGAUAUAUUUUUUUAUAUUUAAAAGUAGAACAAUCCAGUGAAGCAAGCAGUAAGUAUGCACAAGAAGAAAGAUGCUAAGAAGAUUUUGUAAACACAAAGCUUCUUCACUUAAUAAGUUUUCUCAAUUUGGCGGCAUGCCUCCAAUAUAUAGCAAUAUUUUUCUGGGAAUGAAUCUCUAUAUAUAUCAGAGACUGCAGUUACUGUUUCCGAUAGCUCCCUUUUAAUCUCUGAAACUUUAGACCCAAUGUGUUCUUUGUACUUUGAAACUGAAUCAAUCAACUUAAAUAGUUCAUGAGCAUGAACUUGAAUUUCUUCUUCAGUUUGUCUCAUCGUUUCCUGCAACUUCAAUUCAGAUAUCUUGACAAAAAUAAAAAAGUUCGUUAGAUACAAGGUUAGAUUUAACAAAGACAAAAUAAAAUAGUGGUAUCUCAUAUGCUCUAUGUUGAAAUAUCCUUAAAGUUUGGUGAUAGUUUGUUAUACAUAAAAAUAAUUCAAUGUGGAGUACAAGAAUCAAGAUUCAGCAAAGUUCAUUAGAUAGCUUGGGCAGCAUGUUUGGAAAAAAUAAUAAUACUUUAAGAAAUAAACCAGCAGGAAAUCGGCCAAUGAAUACGGAGUACAAGUUUAAAGCAAAUUUUGCUCGCAUUUUGAAAUUGAUUGAAAUACAACAGAGAUAACAAUGACAGCCAGAUGUUCAAACAUUCGAUACAUAUAUAGGCAGCAACUAUCAAAGCUUUUUCCCACAAAGUGGUUCAGAUACAAUUGAUUUUACUAUUAUAGAGAAAAAUAAGAAUCAAUAUUUUACCUUUAGAACCUCGGCUACCUCUCUUUCCAUAAUGCCCACAUCAUGAUCUGCUAGCUGAAUAUCCUCCAACAUUUUCUUAGCUUUGGCAGAACAUCUACUUGUGUAGUCCUGUGUUUCCUUCUUUAUUAUGUCCCUUUGAGUUUCCAGCUAGUGAAUAAAUCAACAAGCAGUAGAAAUGUCAAACAAAAGUCUUUACAGGGCAAAAUAAUUUAUGUUUCCAAUGAUCCAAUCCAACAAAGAGCGUAACAUAAACAUUAUGUACUAGAUUUGUCAUCAAUACAACAAAGAAUUCUCCUUUUAAUACUAUUUUGUUUUUGGGACACAUGCUAUAUCAUUCUCCACAAGUGUAAAGAUGGCAACUAAAAUGAUUUAGUAACCUAAACUAAAUACUUUGAACUGGAUCAUUGUCCUGCUAUAUAGAAAGGUAAUCAAAAGUCGACCGGACAUUGAACAGGUGUAGACACCAAUUAAAGGGCUUGACAGGGGUUGGACUGAUGUUGAACCAAUUAUAAAUUGAAUAUGUUAAUUUUUAAUAAAUAAUAAUAGACAAAAAUUAUAUAAUAUUAAUAACUUCCCACCAUUUAAAAUUAAAUGUCACCCUGCAAGUUGCACCCCAGCAUCUAUUUUUCUUUUCUCUUGAAAAGGCAAAAUAUAUUAGUAUGAUAAUGCUAAGCCAAACCCAAGAUUUUCAAAGCUACACAAAGGCAGGAAAGACCAAAUUAUAACAUAAAUCAUCGCCUAAAUUUUAGAAAUUAUUGCUAAGAUCCCCAAAAAUUCAGCACCUAAUAUUAUAUCAAUUCCUAUUCCAUAACCUGCAGCAGCAAGGCCUGACGAGAUAUUCAAAAGCAUAGCCCCUAAAACAUCACUAUAAUAACCUUUAUGCCACAAAACAAAAUCACCACCAGGCUGAAAGCCUGAAAUGAUAUCCAAGCUGACACAAUUUGCUAAUAACAAUACCUACAAUGCAAUUUAUGAUGCCACUUAGCAGGAAAAGGCAAUCAGUUAAGAAGGCAAAAUACUAGUAUAACAUCGAUUAAAUACAUAACUCAACAUCAUCACACUGCCAACUCUGCGAUUACAACAAAUAUAACUGUCCUGCCAGCAAACAAAGACCAUUUUCACCAAUUAUGAGAACAGUCCCAUAAUCUCUUCAACCUGAAAACUUUCUUGCCUCCACCAACAUUCACCCGCAGAACCUUUUCCCAGCAUUCGAUGCUCCAAUAUCAGUAUGAUUCCCCACAACCAAUCAAAAUCUUCUAACCAAACAAACCCGCUACCCAAACUUCUUCAACCAGAAUUCUCCUCCCUCUUCUGCAAACCAACCUUUUCUACUAGUAAUUAUCAUUACAUGUCCCUACCGAUAAAAACUAUCGUAUAACCAAACAUGCCAAUGGCGACAUGCACCAUUGAUCAAAGACAACAAAUAAUCACCAUUGAUAAAAACUAUCCUACCAUUGUUUCUAUCUUACCAAUACUUUUUUUUUGGAUCAAGCAUGACUGGUGUCAAAGCACUCAUCAGAUUUGAAAUCCAUUUCUUGAUUUGUAAUUGUUCCAGAGAAAGUAUGAGUAUGUCUCCUCGACCAAGUUUGUUGAAUGAUUCAUCAGAAGAGACAACCAUGUAACCAGUCCACUGAUCAGAAGAGUUGUUUUCUAUGAUGUUGGUGGGGUCAGGUGGAGUUGCAUAGAUACACUUUCCGACUUCAUAGCCACAACUUUCCAUUUCAACUUCUUUAAACAUACUCUUACCACAGUUGCAAUACAGUUACAAUUUAAAGAUUUUGUGUCGAUAUCAAAGGCUUUGUAAGAGGCUAUAUAAUAAACUCUCCAUAGCAAAUUGUAUUGUUAUUGCCAUUAAUCGAUUUCUAUCCAAGUUAAAUUUUCCAAUUAUACAACUAAAAAUUUAAAAUCAAGAUUUGCAUCCUUUAUGUAAAGCACGACCGCGCACAAAGUAUUGAAAUCAGCACUAAGAAAGACACAACGCAACACACUUACUUGAUCAACGCCCGACUGCAGUGCAGCAAGCUGAUUUCGCUUCCCCUCGAGCCUAGCAGUAUUUUCAGCAGACUUUUUUUGAAGGGAAGCCAACUCUUCCAAUUUCACCACAAAACUUCUCUUGAUGUCAUCAGCAAAGGAGUCAAGUACAGGCUUCAGCGUGACUUUGUAAUCAAUACCCAUUAUCUCAGCCGGUGUGGUUCCCUUGGGAUUCAACACAUACUGAAUGCCAUUACCGAUCUUCAACCUAGAAGCAAAUUAAAGGAAAAGUUUGCUUAAUAAUUGGUUCCCGAUUAACAUUGACACAACCUCAAAUGAAUUUGUCAAGUUUAUACAUAAACAGCCAAAUAGGGCACAUUCAAUUUCAACUAGAGUUAUUAUAAUUACAAGAGUGGAGACUCAUUUUAGUCCCUCACGAUUUUCUGACGGUCCAAUUCAGUCUCUUACAAAAAAUAAAACCUAAAUUAGUUGUUGGCAUUUUCAUAUUGGGGACAAAUUAGUCCUCUAUUAUAANNNNNNNNNNNNNNNNNNNNNNNNNNNNNNNNNNNNNNNNNNNNNNNNNNNNNNNNNNNNNNNNNNNNNNNNNNNNNNNNNNNNNNNNNNNNNNNNNNNNNNNNNNNNNNNNNNNNNNNNNNNNNNNNNNNNNNNNNNNNNNNNNNNNNNNNNNNNNNNNNNNNNNNNNNNNNNNNNNNNNNNNNNNNNNNNNNNNNNNNNNNNNNNNNNNNNNNNNNNNNNNNNNNNNNNNNNNNNNNNNNNNNNNNNNNNNNNNNNNNNNNNNNNNNNNNNNNNNNNNNNNNNNNNNNNNNNNNNNNNNNNNNNNNNNNNNNNNNNNNNNNNNNNNNNNNNNNNNNNNNNNNNNNNNNNNNNNNNNNNNNNNNNNNNNNNNNNNNNNNNNNNNNNNNNNNNNNNNNNNNNNNNNNNNNNNNNNNNNNNNNNNNNNNNNNNNNNNNAAAAUAAAACCUAAAUUAGUUGUUGGCAUUUUCAUAUUGGGGACAAAUUAGUCCUCUAUUAUAACUAAUCAGAGACUAAUUUGCCCCCAAUAUGAAAAUGUCAUAGACUAAAAUGGAUCUUCACUCUAAUUAUAAUUAAACAAAAAUGCAGCAGAAUACAAUACAAGAAGAAAAGAAAAGAACCUCUUAAAAGCCUGGUUGCAAUCGAUCAAGAGAGCUUCUAAGUCUUUGAUCUUAUGGGCGAUAGUACUGUCAACUUCCCAACACUUUUCCUCCCAAGCAUUUCUAGCAAGUUCAGCCUCUCCGGCAUCCCUCUCAGCAGCCUGCAACUCCUUCUUCAUCCUCUCGACAUCCCUAAUAUUAAAAGUCUGCAACUCCACCUUCUUCUUAAGCUCUUCAUUCUCCUCACAAAUCUUCUCACUCUCCACCAGCUUCGCCUCCAACUGUUUCUCCUUCUCCACCAAAACCCUCUCCAACGGCUCAAUCCGCGACCCAAACUCCUCAAUAAUCUUAUGAAACUUAUUCACAUCACCUUCAAGCACACCCUUCUCUUUCUCAAGCAACUCCUUCUGAGACGGCGCAGUUCUCAACCUCUCCAAUUCAGCUUCCAAAUCAACAGCAGUUUGUUCAACAUCAGCAAGAUUCUUCUCAGCAACAGACUUUUGAGUAAGAAUCUUCUCACGCAUUUGUUCAUCAAGGUAAAGAAUAGCGUCAUCAUCACCAUGAAUGAAAUUCAGGUAAUUGUUAAGAGUAUAUUGAAACAGAAGAUUAUUGUUAUGAAGAUCAGUGGUAUUUGAUGUANNNNNNNNNNNNNNNNNNNNNNNNNNNNNNNNNNNNNNNNNNNNNNNNNNNACAAGCCAGUGAAUAAGGGAAAGUAUCGAAGGCCAUUGAUGAGGCGCAGCGGGUGCUUUAAGAAUCGAUUUAUUAAUUUUGAAAGGAUAAUUAUAGAGUUUAAGAAGUAAUGGAAGAUCGUCUUCGAUUUUGUUUGUAGGAAAUUCGAGAAGUGUGAGGAGGAAUUUUAGGGUUUCGUGAAUGGUUUUUGCGGAAGGAGAUGAAGAAGGUUUGAAAGUGACAUUGAAAUUGUUAGAGGAGAGGAAGGAAUUG